UACGUAGGGUGCGAGCGUUAAUCGGAAUUACUGGGCGUAAAGCGUGCGCAGGCGGUGAUGUAAGACAGGUGUGAAAUCCCCGGGCUUAACCUGGGAACUGCAUUUGUGACUGCAUCGCUGGAGUGCGGCAGAGGGGGAUGGAAUUCCGCGUGUAGCAGUGAAAUGCGUAGAUAUGCGGAGGAACACCGAUGGCGAAGGCAGCCCCCUGGGCUAACACUGACGCUCAUGCACGAAAGCGUGGGGAGCAAACAGG
rnacentral:rRNA from 1 species